rnacentral:rRNA from 1 species
AACGAACGCUGGCGGCAUGCCUAACACAUGCAAGUCGAACGAGACCUUCGGGUCUAGUGGCGCACGGGUGCGUAACGCGUGGGAACCUGCCCUUAGGUUCGGAAUAACUCCCCGAAAGGGGUGCUAAUACCGGAUAAUGUCUUCGGACCAAAGAUUUAUCGCCUUUGGAUGGGCCCGCGUUGGAUUAGCUAGUUGGUAGGGUAAAAGCCUACCAAGGCGACGAUCCAUAGCUGGUCUGAGAGGAUGAUCAGCCACACUGGGACUGAGACACGGCCCAGACUCCUACGGAAGGCAGCAGUGGGGAAUAUUGAACACUGGGCGAAAGCCUGAUCCAGCAGUGCCGCGUGAGUGAUGAAGGCCUUAGGAUUGUAAAGCUCUUUUACCCGGGAUGAUAAUGACAGUACCGGGAGAAUAAGCUCCGGCUAACUCCGU